CAAAAAAAGAAGAAGAAAAAAG
rnacentral:sRNA from 1 species